rnacentral:lncRNA from 1 species
AUGACAAGACGAUUCGGAGAAGCACAAAUACAAGAUGCUAAGGAACCUAAGCAGCUCCGCAGGAGAAAGGCCAACUGGAAAAGCAAAAGGGCCUUGUCGCCAGGCAGGGAAUUCUCCGAAGGGGGCGAGCUGAAGGCAGCAGCCCGCCCGAGAGGGGCCCAGCCGGCGCAGACGCAGAAAGAAGCCGCCUCUUUAGCGGAGAAGUCUCAGAGCAGUUUUUUCAAGCACGAAGGGCGGGGCAAGAGGGCGGCUGUUCGGCUGCACGGCGCAACACUGCCACCUGCAGACCAGAGAAACCCAACGCCACCAACCCCAGCGAAAACUCCAUCUUUUCCGUGGUCGUUCCGCGCAACGACCUGGAGCUCGUGGCUCAGGAAGGCCGGCGGGAGGGAGAUGAGGACCACGGAAAGGAAGAGAAGCGGCCAGAGCGGCCCCGGCAACCGGGCUGGGGCACCGCCGCCUUCCCGGCCCCGGAGCCGUAGCCACAGCGGCAGGAAGUCCCUGUGCCCAGGAAGGACGCGCCCCGGGGGCGGGGCUGCGCCCCGACAGGCGGGCUCUGGGCCGGCGCGCGGGCGUCCCGUAAGGUCGCUGCCAGUCUCCCUGCCGGUGGCCGCUGGCGCUUACCCUCCGGAUCCUCUUGCGAACUGUGGACCGGGGAUGUCCAGCGUUCCACGAGCACUGGCAGCCACUCUUCUCAUGGUGUUCGAUGAUAAUUGGGAAAAGAGAAGAGAUCACAUAGGAACCCUCACCACUUCCCAGCAACGCUGGAUCUGCUCUUGUGUUCUCUGCUGCCCCUCUUUAGGAGGUGACCAGAUCUGAUUUGAGGCCAGGCCCUUCACCUGGGUCCCAUGUCCUUGCUCUUUCUCAACGAGUAAAGUUUUGUCACCCUCAGCUUUUCUUCUGGAUCAUUCCAUAAUCCACAAAGUAGGCAGAAAGAUGGCUGGAAUUUGGGAAUUCAGCUUUCUGGAGCUGACCUUCUUUCCUGCUGAGGUGUAAGUGAGACCCCAGGGGGCCUCAUUCCCUGAAGGGGCAAAGUGGAUAUUGACUGAGUCCAGAGCCAGGGGUUCUACCAUGAAGGAAGCCUAACCUGGCUCGGGCCUCACAUGACCCUGUAGUUGAGGCUGUAAAGUGGACAGCCCUGCCCAGGGGCAGGGUGGAGCAUGAGACCCAGAUUCAGAGGGGUCUACAGAUGUCGGCAGCGUAAGCUGAGGCCGAAUCACCCAGGGAGCACCAGGUCCUGACCGAGAGAAGAGAGACAAAUGUGCAAGUUUCACCAGCCACACACGUGGGUGAUGCAGGUCACCUUCACCAGCUGGACCUGGGAGACAAGAGUCAUCCUUCCCGCAGAGAGCACGGAGGAUACUGUGAGCGUCAUAAGAAUUUCCUAGACCCCCUCCCUUCCCACAUCACCCAGGACACUUGUAAACCAUACAUACUUCUUCCCCACUUUCAAAGGAGUAGGGAGGUCAGAUGGAAAUCUGACAGACUGAGCGUUUUUACCAAAACAGACUGGGGUUGGUUCCAAUGAACCCUUCACAUGAUAGCAUCAGAUUACAAUUACCAGAUUAGACAUAAAUUCAGUGGGCUUUUUCAUCCCUUAUUAUCCAGUCCAGAGAGUAGGCACUCAUGAUGAAUCCGACUGACCAGAGAGAAUACAUUAACCAAGUGUCCAUGCAGUCCCAGGAGCACGAGUGAAUCUGGGAUCUGAGCACGUCAUCCCCACCAGCUCCUCCCCUGCCCACCGUCUCAUCAGUCCGUGUUAGAGGAGCUUGAGGCAUCCUUGCCUUGUCCUCUCCUUUAACCCAGGACAACAUUUCCC